AUUGAACGCUGGCGGCAGGCCUAACACAUGCAAGUCGAACGAGUGGCGGACGGGUGAGUAAUGUCUGGGAAACUGCCUGAUGGAGGGGGAUAACUACUGGAAACGGUAGCUAAUACCGCAUACCAUCGGAUGUGCCCAGAUGGGAUUAGCUUGUUGGUGGGGUAACGGCUCACCUAGGCGACGAUCCCUAGCUGGUCUGAGAGGAUGACCAGCCACACUGGAACUGGGACACGGUCCAGACGCCUACGGUAGGCAGCAGUGGGGAAUAGUGCACAAUGGGCGCAAGCCUGAUGCAGCCAUGGCGCGUGUAUGAAGAAGGCCUUCGGGUUGUAAAGUACUUUCAGCGGGGAGGCGUUACCCGCAGAAGAAGCACCGGCUAACUCCGUGCCAGCAGCCGCGGUAAUAC
rnacentral:rRNA from 1 species